CAGCAGCCACGGUAAAACGAAGGGUGCAAGCGUUACUCGGAAUUACUGGGCGUAAAGCGUGCGUAGGUGGUGGUUUAAGUCCGUUGUGAAAGCCCUGGGCUCAACCUGGGAAUUGCAGUGGAUACUGGGUCACUAGAGUGUGGUAGAGGAUAGUGGAAUUUCCGGUGUAGCAGUGUAAUGCGUAGAGAUCGGAAGGAACAUCUGUGGCGAAGGCGACUAUCUGGGCCAACACUGACACUGAGGCACGAAAGCGUGGGGAGCAAACAGGAUUAGAUACCCGCGUAGUCCCUGUCUCUUAUAC
rnacentral:rRNA from 1 species